CACAAUGGACGUAGCUGACACUUUAGCCGAUGGAAUCUUGGUGAAAUCGAGAGGGUAUCUUAUCCCUAAUGAUGUUGUGGCUGUUGAUGGUGGUAUUAGGACCACCAGUACUUAAGCCCCCUCCGGCAAUGAAACUACCUCCUAUUGAUCUUUCAGGAUCAUCUUGGGAUUUCCUUACGCAUUUUGCUCCAAGUGAAACAGUUCAGCGGCCGAGUUCCUCUUCUUCUGAUAACAGCUGUGAUGAAGAGGAAGUGGAAACGGAAGAGACGGGACGUAGUUUAUUCACUUGGGGGAUACGGCUCACGAGGCAUGCUCAAUCGCUAUAGACGAUGGUGACUACUCAAGGAAAGUAUCCAUUACUUCUUCGAUUUAUGCCUCUGGAAGAUCUAUCAUCACUUCUUGGCUGAAGGGUCAUGUUCCGGGACGAUCAUCAUUUAGCUCUGUGUAUGAAGGCAUUUCAGAUUCCUCCAUUGAUUCAGAAUCCACUUACUCCUUUCUAACGCCCUCUUUGGAGUUCCCGGAUCGCGUCAGUUUCCGGAAAAUGGAUUUGAGUGAAGCAGGUCCUAGUCGACACGUUCGGGAAAAUCAUAAAUUGACGCGUUCUAAGUUGAUUGGAAAUUUUUACAAUCCUGAGGAUAUGGUAUUAGUGACGUCUUGGCUGAAGGGUCAACUUCUGGGACGAGGAUCAUUUGCCUCAGUGUACGAAGCCAUUUCAGACUGUGAAGGAAGUUUCACUUCUUCAAAAGGGAAGUCAGGCAAAAGAGUGCGUAAAACAACUUGAGAGGGAGAUUGCGUUACUUUGUCAGCUUCAGCAUCAGAAUAUUGUUCGAUAUCGUGGCACACCAAAGGCAUGGACCCGCUCUGGGUUUCUUUUUCUCAGUUUCAGUUUCCCUAAGUAUUUUGUUGUGCAAUUGAUAACUCAUUCCGCUGUUUUCAGGACGGGUCAAAUUUGUACAUCUUUCUUGAGCUUGUAACCCAAGGAUCCCUUAAAAAACCCUACGAAAGAUACAAACUUAGAGACUCUCUAGUCUCCUUGUACACAAGACAAAUUCUUGAUGGUUUGGAAUAUCUCCACGAUAAAGGCUGUGUUCACAGGGACAUUAAAUGUGCAAAUAUAUUGGUGGGCACUAAUGGCGCCAUUAAACUUGCAGAUUUUGGGUUGGCAAAGGUGUCAAAUGACAUAAAGUCUUGCUAGGGAACUCCAUUCUGGAUGGCUCCAGAGGUUAUUCAACCCAGGGGUAAUUAUGGGUAUGGAAGUCCAGCUGAUAUCUGGAGCCUUGGGUGCACUGUGCUAGAAAUGUGUACUGGUCAGACCCCUUACUAUGAUCUUGAACCUGUUCAAGCCCUGUUUCAUAUCGGAAAGGCUGAGCUGCUAAACCAUCCAUUUGUGAUAAGGCCCUUAUCCAGAGGAUCAACUGCUCCACAUCUCUGUAGAUGAGGCUGAUUUGAGUAAAUACUAUCUCUAUAGGCGUAAUCAGAAGAUUUGUGUGAGAUCAGAUGAGACUCCAUAGAAACUAUUGAGGAGAGUGGAGAUAUGAUUCUUCUUCACACUUGCGGUUUUGGGUUGCGCAGCCAAGAGCUAAGUUCCCUGGGACAUAUCUUCAAAUAAUAUAUGGCUCAUUUCAUUUGUGUUUGUUAUUCGUUGUUGUUUAUCUGUGUGUUGGGAUUAAUAUUAAAACUGAAGAGACUUAUUUUUACUGGAAUCAUUAUAUCAGAUAAUGUCUACCUUGGCGUUUUUGGUGCAUAGGUUUUUUUUUUGGUUCAACGUGCAUAGAUUUGUUUAGUUUUGUUAAAUUAUAGUAUAAUGUAUUGUAUAAUCAUAAUUGGUUCUUCUAUAGACUUCACACUUGCGGUUUACAUAACUUAACGUAGUUCAGUAUAAAAAUUGUAUGUAUAUUGAAUUUUUAAAACAUGCUUCAGAUUUUGAAUUAUUUUUGUGGGAGACUUGUUAAAGAUUAAAGGGAAAAAUAAACGUCUCAUUCAGGAAUAGAAAUGUUAGAUGCUGUACUGUUGCAAUGUUGCAUGCUAUAUUGUCGCUUAACACACACAUUCCCCCACCCAUGUUUCCUUCAGAGUUCAGAGUAUUUGAUUAAAGUUCUUUUAUUUCUGUUUAUGGUGUUUAUAACUGUAAGUAUGUUUUUGUAAUCACAUAUAAUUUGGAUUCUUUCCAUUUUGAUUGUACUUUAGGCUAUACUUUGUACGGUUCCCCGGAUGAGCGACCAACUGCAGCUGAACUGCUGAACCAUCCAUUUGUGACAAGGCCCUCACCAUCCUUGAGCUCAGGAGGAACAUUAAUGUCCUAAUGUAAAAAAGGGAAAAUAGAAAUAGUUGGUUCUUAUAAAGCUCCAUUUUAAACUAUUCAAAAGUAUGGUAAAAACAUUUAUUUAUGAUUCUGGUCAAAGCCACUUUCAUUAAAGUCUCUAUAUCAUUCAACUUGUUUCUUACAAUAAUUCUCCUUUGAAAAGUUAUUGCAAUUUUUGGAUUUAUAAAAUUUAUUCGAAAGGGGAUUUGGUGGCUUUGGUUAGGGAUUUUUUCCAGUCUGGUAAGUUUGGUACUAGAUUAAAUGAGACAAACAUUUGUCUUUAUUCCAAAAGUGGAUAAGCCGUAGAGAAUGGCAGAAUUUUGACCAAUUAGUCUCUAUG